GCUUGGAAUAGCUUGCAUAUACUCACAUUGGAAUGAUACAGAGAAGAUCAGCAUUGGCUCAGCCCGAGGAUGGCACCCAGAUCUGGGAAGCGUUCCAUCUUUUU